GGAGUCUAGCAUGUGCGCGAGUCAUUGGGAACAACUAAACCUAAAGGCGCAAUGAAAGUGAAGGUCCGCCUCGCGCGGACCGAGGGAAGAUGGGCGGUAACCACCGUAAGAUGGUCCGCCCCGCACUCCCGGGGCGUCUCGUUCUCAUUGCGAGAAGAGGCGCACCAAGAGCGUACACGCUGGGACCCGAAAGAUGGUGAACUAUGCCUGGUCAGGACGAAGUCAGGGGAAACCCUGAUGGAGGUCCGUAGCGAUUCUGACGUGCAAAUCGAUCGUCGGAACUGGGUAUAGGGGCGAAAGACUAAUCGAACCAUCUAGUAGCUGGUUCCCUCCGAAGUUUCCCUCAGGAUAGCUGGCGCUCGUCGCCUACGAGUCUCAUCCGGUAAAGCGAAUGAUUAGAGGCAUUGGGGUCGAAACGGCCUCAACCUAUUCUCAAACUUUAAAUGGGUGAGAUCUCCGGCUUGCUCGAACUACUGAAGCCGCGAGACACGGAUCAGAGUGCCAAGUGGGCCAUUUUUGGUAAGCAGAACUGGCGCUGUGGGAUGAACCAAACGCCGAGUUAAAGCGCCUAAAUCGACGCUUAUGGGAUACCAUGAAAGGCGUUGGUAACUUAAGACAGCAGGACGGUGGCCAUGGAAGUC
rnacentral:rRNA from 1 species